GCCUGGCUGGCUCAGUUGGUAGAGCAUGUGACUCUUGAUCUCAGGAUGAUGAGUUCAAGCCCCACAUUGGGCG
rnacentral:tRNA from 1 species